UGCCUGGCCAUGGAACACUCUAGCGGAGGAGAGCAAAGUCCUCCCCAAACCAAGGCCACAAUAACUAGCACGGUGCUCUGCACAUCAUAUGCACUCAGCACUUGUGAAAUUGAGUUGAAUCAGAAACAAAACGAGGAGCAGAGGUCAAGUCCUGCAAAAGAUAAACCGUGCUAUCUCCGUGACAACAAGCCCAAGUUAGCCUGCUAGAGGAUGAAACACUUUGCGGAAGAGAACCAAAGUUGCCCAGUCCACAAGCCAACUCACUCUCAACAGCAGAGCUGUCUGGUCACCAGCAGCUGACCCCCUUCUCCCAUACACACACAUGAAGAUUGCUAUACCUUAUAAAGGUACGGCAGGUUUUAUAGGUAUAGCAAUUAAUUUAUGGCAGGAGCCUGCCAUAAAUUGCUGACUUGCUCAAUCAUGAGCUAAAUAAGUUUUGGGAUGGCUCAUUACACAGUAACAGCUAACUAACACACCCAGAGCUGACAGGAUGCCAGGAUUAACAACAUGCUGACUACAAGUUAGCUGGCACACUAUAGGGACCGUCUAGGUACUGAAUUCCUUUUCCCCUUAUUAGAAGUUGGGUCCCUUGAAUUAUAAAGAAAUGCAUGUAGACAUGUAUGUGCUUAAAACUCACACAGUAUCACACAACACAGGAGGAAAUAGAUGACAGCCUGACCACUAGGGCAAAGGCCAAAUAGCAAGGUAAGGCAUUUGUCUGGAAUCUAUUCCCUCCAAAUCUAAACUCUGGAGGUCAAGGCUGUGGACAGGACCCACCUCCUGGGACCCCGCUGUCCUCUGAUCUCUGGAGGGGAGAAUGGCCCCACCAAGCAGCAGAUGGGCAGCAGUGGCCUACCUGUGGCCACCUCCUGCUGGCAGCCCCUGCUCUCUCAGGGCACUCUCUCUUCCUUUGGGACUGAGAAGAGAUGUGGGUAGGGAGGGGGAGCUCCCUCCCUCCUGGCAGA
rnacentral:lncRNA from 10 species